GUGGGAGCACUUUAUAUGUGUGACCGCGUACUUUUUGUAGAACGGGCCAACGAGUUACGACAGUAAGCAAGGUUAAGUACUUAAGGUAUGGAGCCGUAGUGAAAGCGAGUCUUAAAUGGGCGUUAAGUUUUCUGUCGUAGACCCGAAACCGGGCGACCUACCCAUGAGCAGGAUGAAGCGAAAGUAAAAUUUCGUGGAGGUCCGAACCCACGAGCGUUGAAAAGCUCGGGGAUGACUUGUGGGUAGCGGUGAAAUUCCAAUCGAGCCCGGAGAUAGCUGGUUCUCCCCGAAAUAGCUUUAGGGCUAGCCUCAAGGUUGAGAAAUACGGAGGUAGAGCACUGAAUAUCCUAGGGGGCAUUGCGCUUACCGAAGAUUAUCAAACUCCGAAUGCCGUUAUUUUAUACUUGGGAGUCAGACUGUGGGUAAUAAGAUUCAUAGUCGAGAGGGCAACAGCCCAGAUCGUCAGCUAAGGUCCCUAAAUGUAAGUUAAGUGGUAAAGGAUGUGGGAUUGCAUAGACAACCAGGAUGUUGGCUUAGAAGCAGCCACUCAUUUAAAGAGUGCGUAAUAGCUCACUGGUCGAGUGAUCCUGCGCCGAAGAUUACCGGGGCUAAAACUUACUACCGAAGCUACGAUAUCAUUUAUGAUAGGUAGGGGAGCUUCCUAUGCAGGCUGAAGCAUGACCGUAAGGACAUGUGGACAGUAUAGGAGUGAGAAUGUUGGCAUGAGUAGCGAGACGUGGGUGAGAAUCCCACGGGCCGUAAACCCAAGGUUUCCAGGGGAAGGUUCGUCCGCCCUGGGUUAGUCGGGACCUAAGCCGAGGCCGAAAGGCGUAGGUGAUGGACAACAGGUUGAGAUUCCUGUACCACCGAUAAUCGCUUGAGAGAAGGAAUGACACAGUAGGAUAAGCUAACCACACUGUUGGUUAUGUGUGGCUAAGUACUGAGGCAGUCAAGGUAGGCAAAUCCGCCUUGAUAAUGCUGGGGUACGAUGGGGAGCGAAAUUAAGUAGCGAAGUAGCUGAUUUCACACUGUCGAGAAAAGUUUCUAUCGAGAUUAAAGGUGCCCGUACCGCAAACCGACACAGGUGGGUGAGGAGAGUAUCCUAAGGCCAGCGAGAGAACUGUUGUUAAGGAACUCGGCAAAAUGACCCCGUAACUUAGGGAGAAGGGGUGCCACGUUAGGGUUAACGCCCGAGGUGGCCGCAGAGAAUAGGCCCAAGCGACUGUUUACCAAAAACACAGGUUUCUGCUAAGUCGCAAGACGAUGUAUAGGAGCUGACGCCUGCCCGGUGCUGGAAGGUUAAGGGGAUCUGUUAGGAUUUAUCCGAAGCAGUGAACUUAAGCCCCAGUAAACGGCGGCCGUAACUAUAACGGUCCUAAGGUAGCGAAAUUCCUUGUCGGGUAAGUUCCGACCCGCACGAAAGGCGUAACGAUUUGGGCACUGUCUCAACAACAGACUCGGUGAAAUUGUAAUCCCGGUGAAGAUGCCGGGUACCUGCGACAGGACGGAAAGACCCCAUGGAGCUUUACUGUAGCUUGACAUUGAAUUUUGGUGCUACAUGUACAGGAUAGGUGGGAGGCUAUGAAGUCGGGACGCCAGUCUCGGCGGAGCCAUCCUUGGGAUACCACCCUUGUAGUACUGAGAUUCUAACCAGAUACCUUGAAUCAGGUAUUGGGACACUGUCAGGUGGGCAGUUUGACUGGGGCGGUCGCCUCCCAAAGAGUAACGG
rnacentral:rRNA from 1 species